rnacentral:tRNA from 6 species
GGGCCCGUGGCUUAGCCAGGAUAUAGCGCUGGCCUUCUAAGCCAGACGCCUCGGGUUCGAAUCCCGACGGGCCCGCCA